rnacentral:rRNA from 1 species
CCUACGGGUGGCUGCAGUGGGGAAUUUUGGACAAUGGGGGCAACCCUGAUCCAGCCAUUCCGCGUGAGUGAAGAAGGCCUUCGGGUUGUAAAGCUCUUUCGGCAGGAACGAAACGGUCGUCGCUAAUACCGAUGGCUAAUGACGGUACCUGAAGAAGAAGCACCGGCUAACUACGUGCCAGCAGCCGCGGUAAUACGUAGGGUGCGAGCGUUAAUCGGAAUUACGGGGCGGAUUUUAUACGCCAGAGGUUAAAUCCCCGGGCUUAACCUGGGAACUGCGUUUGUGACUGUAAGACUCGAGUGUGGCAGAGGGGGGUGGAAUUCCACGUGUAGCAGUGAAAUGCGUAGAGAUGUGGAGGAACACCGAUGGCGAAGGCAGCCCCCUGGGUCAACACUGACGCUCAUGCACGAAAGCGUGGGUAGCAAACAGGAUUAGAUACCCGAGUAGUC